GCCAGUGUGCUGUAGUGGCUUGAGCAUUGGACUAUGACUCAGGAGACCAGGGUUUGAAUCCCUGCCUGGUCA